AUUCAACAAGCGAUUUCUAUAUUGAGUUUCUUCACAAGAUAAACCAAAUGGGCUUCGUACAAGAACCUCCUCAAAAUCCAGUUUCUGCCUGAUUCACGUAGUCCGUGUGUACUUCAUUUAGAUGGGCAUAUAAAUGACCAUCAUUUUCUUCCUCCCCAGGGCCAGGUCUUUUGAGAGCUGUAUACGUCGACUCUUCAUUUUCCACUUCUUCAUAAUUCGCAUCAUCAUAAUUCGCAUCAUCAUUGCCAGGAUUUUCAUCAAUUUCUUUUGAAUUAUUUCUGUCCUUGCUCUUGUUCUCCGCGUUUGCCUUUGAUGAUUUGAGUCGACGAAUUUGAUAAAUGAAAUAAGCAAGGGUAACGAGCAAAAUUAUCACGAGAAUUAUUAACACUAUAAUUCCAACAAGAUAUUUUUCACCAUCUUCCGUACCUAUGUUA
rnacentral:lncRNA from 1 species